rnacentral:tRNA from 2 species
GGGCGAUUAGCUCAGUUGGUUAGAGCGCCUGCUUUACACGCAGGAGGUCAAUGGUUCGAGUCCAUUAUCGCCCACCA